AACUAAUUAAUCUUACAAAGAUGAAGAACUGUAAAUUCUUUUAUUUCCACCAUUAAU
rnacentral:tRNA from 1 species